GGAGAUCCUAUCAAGGAAGACUCUUCCGUGCCCUCGACCUCGGCCGCCCAACCGCAAAUGCCACCAUCUCCUCCUCCAGUUAGCAAGCCAAAGGUGAGUACCAAGUUUAGAGAUUUACUAGCAUUCAGCGGUCCAGCACCCGAGAGGAUCAACGGGAGACUAGCCAUGGUUGGGUUCGUGGCUGCCAUCGCGGUGGAGCUUUCA